UCAUCAAAAAAAUCGAAACACUUCCGUUUUCAUUGUUUCUGUCCGAAUUUAACACAAAAAAGAAUUCAUACGAUGAAAAAAAAUACAUAAAUGUAUAGCUGGCAGUUUGGCCAUUACAGUAAUAAGCGAAAAUUCUAAAUUCAAAAUUAGAAUUUCAUUUGUUUAUCUUAUAAACGAAAUGAAUCACUGUUUUGAGACAAAUGUGUGUUUAGGGUUGGAGUACAUUUAGCGUUUAAAAACUGAAAAUUGGCGCCUAUCCUUAAACUUUUUGUUUUUUAUUUCAAUACUGUGACUUUGGGACGUCUGAAAAAAGGUUUUUUUUCUAAAACGUAUGGAUACUUCGCCCACAGAAGCCGCCCAAGUUGUGGCAUUGCUGGAUUCUGGCCUUAGUCAGCGUGUUGUGGCUGCAAGACUGCAUCUAAGCCUGUCAUCUGUUCAUAGAGUCUAUAAACGUUAUCGGGAGACUGGUUUGUUCACGCGCCGUUCAGGAUCUGGCAGGAAUCGGGUCACUUCUGAGCGAGAUGAUCGAUUUAUUGUAACAACUUCUUUAAGAAAUCGACGCCUUAACGCUUUUCAACUGCAGCAGCGGCUUCGUGUUGUACGAAGGGUGGCUGUAAGUGACUCUACAAUUAGAAGAAGGUUGAAGGAUCGUGGACUGGUACCGCAUAAGCCAGCAAAUGGGCCGAAAUGAACUGCAGACCAUCGAAGAGCGCGCCUUAACUUUGCACGUGAGCACCUAAAUUGGUCAUACCUACAGUGGAGCAAAGUUCUCUUUUCUGAUGAGUGUAAAAUUAUGCUGUAUGGAAGGAACAAGGUCUACAGAAGAGACGGAGAACGCUAUGCACAAUGCUGCAUUGAAGAAAAGGUCAGCUAUGGUGGCGGUUCUGUAGGUAUGACCAAUUUAGGUGCUCACGUGCAAAGUUAAGGCGCGCUCUUCGAUGGUCUGCAGUUAAUUUCGGCCCAUUUGCUGGCUUAUGCGGUACCAGUCCACGAUCCUUCAACCUUCUUCUAAUUGUAGAGUCACUUACAGCCACCCUUCGUACAACACGAAGCCGCUGCUGCAGUUGAAAAGCGUUAAGGCGUCGAUUUCUUAAAGAAGUUGUUACAAUAAAUCGAUCAUCUCGCUCAGAAGUGACCCGAUUCCUGACAGAUCCUGAACGGCGCGUGAACAAACCAGUCUCCCGAUAACGUUUAUAGACUCUAUGAACAGAUGACAGGCUUAGAUGCAGUCUUGCAGCCACAACACGCUGACUAAGGCCAGAAUCCAGCAAUGCCACAACUUGGGCGGCUUCUGUGGGCGAAGUAUCCAUACGUUUUAGAAAAAAAACCUUUUUCAGACGUCCCAAAGUCACAGUAUUGAAAUAAAAAACAAAAAGUUUAAGGAUAGGCGCCAAUUUUUAGUUUUUAAACGCUAAAUGUACUCCAACCCUAAACACACAUUUGUCUCAAAACAGUGAUUCAUUUCGUUUAUAAGAUAAACAAAUGAAAUUCUAAUUUUGAAUUUAGAAUUUUCGCUUAUUACUGUAAUGGCCAAACUGCCAGCUAUACAUUUAUGUAUUUUUUUUCAUCGUAUGAAUUCUUUUUUGUGUUAAAUUCGGACAGAAACAAUGAAAACGGAAGUGUUUCGAUUUUUUUGAUGAGAAGUGUAUAUCA